rnacentral:lncRNA from 10 species
CCUGGGAGGCUGGGGAGGAGGAGCCUGGCUGGUAGAAUGGGGCAUCCAUGGUAGUCUCAUUGCUGAAGAAAACCCCCAGGCAAGAUACCAGAGCUGCCAGCAACAUAUGGUUUCCAGUAGCAACUGCUUGCUUAGUCCUGUAGACUCUGCCCCAAUUCCCUGGGCAAUUCACCCUUUCCCUGGCCCAGUCCCUUCAGUGAGUGAGCACACUUCCUACUUCACAGAGAAAGGAGAGCUUACCAGGCAUGAAUUACCUCAACUGUCAUCCUCUGUGCCGAUGCACAAAGCUGCACCGUGGGCUCUGCAUUCCAUCCCAUUCCAUAUGGCCUGCUCCGGAGUCUUUGCUCCACUCUCUUUCCUGCACCCUUCUCCCCUGGCCUGUCCUGG